rnacentral:lncRNA from 1 species
AUGUGAUUCCUCCUUGAAGUGAGCUAAAUUAUAUUUUAAAAUUUCUUUGUGCAGGCCACUCACAUGAGCAGACAUAUGAAGACACAGCACUGUUACACUACUGAGUAGGUCACUGGCCAUGUAGGUAUACUUCACAUAUUAAGGGGAUUCUAAAUGUGGCAGCUACAUACGUUUGCGGUGUGCUGCGUGGUGGUCUGGCGCAUCAAGAAGCAUGUGUCACCAUAUCCUCUAAUAUAAUGACCCGCUAAAUGACUCCAAAGGAUACUUCAGUAUAAUUCAGAAAAAGGUACAGGGACAUUUGUUGUUAUAAGCUUUCAACAUAUUGCUCUAACCAGCUUUGCUAUUUCUUCAUGUGAAGUACAAGGCACAGCCAUCAACUAUUCAUGCAGAAUACUCGCAUAUGCAGUAAAAUGCUCCAUCGUUAUAAAUUUGGAAUGUGGGGUGUCUCACUGGAACAUGUCGGCAUCCUCCAAAUGCCUGUUUAAGCAUUCUUCUGAAUUUAUUAAUGUUUACAGUGCUCAAAAA